CGCGGCCCACCCCGAGCCACCAUCCCACGAGCCACCAACCACCCUCCCCACCUUCUCCGGUGAGGCCCGCCCCACCUGAGCCGUCGUCCCACCGUCCCACCUUCUCCGGCGGGAUCCGCCUCCCACCCCUGCCCAGACACCUAACCCGACCGCGCGACCGCCAGAUCCGGUGGGAUCCUUCCUCCCGUGCUUGCCCGGCGACGCGUGCAUCGCAAACAGAGGCGAGGUGCCCCCUCACCCCGCCCCCCGCGCGCCCUCCCCGCGACGGCACGCCCUGGUGGUCGCCAAAUCUGGGCCAGGAGCGCCUACCCCGUCCCGAGAUUCAGCUCCUCUGGCUGCAUGGCGCAGGUCCCCCAUUCCCCGGGCGAGCUCUCGUGCUCCCCUUCCCGCCGGCGAUCUCUACUGCUUCCCACCCCCUCCGACGAGCUCUCCUGCCUCCCCUCCCCUCUAGCAAGCUGGCCUGAAGAUGGUCGAGGCUCCUGAUGCAGUUCGUUUCGUGGAUUGUGUUGUGGAGUGUGUGUGGCGUGCAGCUCGGAGCGAGUGGGCAUGCAGCUCAGAGCCAGCAAGGAUAUUCCCAUGUGUUGGCCGUAGCGUGCGCCCCUUCCUAGCAUGCUGACGGUCAGGCCGCAUUUGCUUGCGAUAGUGGCUCCGGACCAUGGACACAACCGGAUGCAAGACCCUGCAUCCCACAUCGCCACCCUUCGACUUCUUCGUCGCAACAAGGCGUGCUGUGAGAAAGCGUGUGAGAGUGUAGCUUGCCGUUGAGGAUGCAGUCCGUCGUCUCGGCCAGGUGAUGCUCCUUGUUUGUUCCCCACUAACGAACAAGAAAACACACGAGCAUCGAUGUUGUAGUUUACUUUUUUUAUAUUGGGAGGAAAGAUUCAGUGCAGUUCGGCCAACCGGCGUUGUGAAGAACAGCCAACGAUGGCGUGCAGUUUGACAAAAAUAAAUUCACCCGUGGUCGGUGGUGUGGCCACUGCAUUUCGUCGGCGAGCCGCUAGCGGCUGGAGCAGCACGGACGUGCAAUUCGCUUUUUGUUUUUUGGCCGAGGAUGCAGUGCCUUUACUUUUUGCAGUCGUUCACUCGUGUGCCAUGGGGUUCACAUGUAAUUAUUUCUUUGAAAACUCAAAAUUCUCCUUAUUUUGUUUCUAAAAAGGAAGUACAUUUUGCACUAGCAAUCCGCUGAGCUGGAGCUGAAGGUCAAUGGCCGCCCCAUGCAAUCCAUGGCGCUGGCCGUGCUUUCUCCUACUGCUCUGUGUGAGGUGAGGAUGGGUUCUCUGUUGGCAAGGUAAUGCAUUUUUCAGUAUGGUUUGCAGUUCCAUCAGUGUGGUCGUGCGGCACGCGGGCGUGGGUUUGCAAUGUGGUUCUCAUCUACGUGCAGCCCAAGAUGAUGGCCAUAUCCGCUGGGGCUUUUGUAUUCGUGUGUUUAUAUUGUACUCCCAUGGACAUCAUCCCGUAUUUGUGUGAGUAUUUGUUUGCCUAAUGGCCCAUAGCCAGCUCCACCAUAGGGCAUCUAACUCUGUAUGUUCCCAAUGCAGUUCGGCGGGCGAGCAUGUUCUGUGCAGUGCAUUUGGCAUGUUCUUGCAUUUUGUAGUGUUUUCAUUUGGCAGCUCCUUUGCUUUUUGUUGCAGCUCACUCAAUAUUUGUUUGCAGUUCAUUGCGGGACUCCAUGGCGCUGGUCGUGCUGCUCCUUUUCUUGUUGCUAUGUCUGAGGCGAGGACGGGCUCUGCCGCACCGGGAACCAGGGUGUUCGCGACACCGGCGAAGACGGCGUGGUGGUUCCCUUCUUCCCCAACAACAGAAGUUGCGGUGUGGCUAUGCAAUUGUUGAAGUUCAGGAAUAUGUUUGGUGUCUUUUCAGAUUUCGUUUGGGCGCAACACUGCAGUUCGCAUGGGUCUUCACAACGGUGCGGACGGGUGUGCAGUAGGGUGCUUGCAGUGCGAUGGCGCGAUGCUCACGGUCUUGAAUAAAUUUGUUUGAUGCGAUGGUGCGAUGGUGCAAUUUGUUUCAUGUGUUCUAAAAUUUAGUCGACUACGUCAACACCUGCAGUGCGUUUGUUUCGCGGAUGUGGUUCAGUUUUUAGAGUGAUGAUGUUCACUUGCGCCCAACAUGAAAGUGUUAAAAAUUAGUGAAACAAUAAAAUAGUAAUGUGGUUCA